UGGGGAAUAUUGGGCAAUGGGGGAAACCCUGACCCAGCAACGCCGCGUGAAGGAAGAAGGCCCUCGGGUUGUAAACUUCUUUUACCAGGGACGAAGGACGUGACGGUACCUGGAGAAAAAGCAACGGCUAAAUACGUGCCAGCAGCCGCGGUAAUACGUAUGGUGCAAGCGUUAUCCGGAUUUACUGGGUGUAAAGGGAGCGCAGACGGCAUGGCAAGCCAGAUGUGAAAGGUGGGGGCUCAACCCCCAAGCUGCAUUUGGAACUGUCAAGCUAGAGUAUCGGAGAGGUAAGUGGAAUUCCUAGUGUAGCGGUGAAAUGCGUAGAUAUUAGGAGGAACACCAGUGGCGAAGGCGGCUUACUGGACGAUAACUGACGUUGAGGCUCGAAAGCGUGGGGAGCAAACAGGAUUAGAUACCCUGGUAGU
rnacentral:rRNA from 1 species